rnacentral:misc_RNA from 1 species
UCCGAGUUGACCCCGGCAGUCUCCUAUGAGUCCCCACCAUCACGUGCUGGCAACAUAGGACGAGGGUUGCGCUCGUUGCGGGACUUAACCCAACAUCUCACGGCACGAGCUGACGACAGCCAUGCAGCACCUUGCUCCAUGUCCUUGCGGAACAGUCCAUCUCUGGACCCAUCAUGGGCAUUCUAGCCCAGGUAAGGUUCCUCGCGUAUCAUCGAAUUAAACCACAUGCUCCACCGCUUGUGCGGGCCCCCGUCAAUUCUUUUGAGUUUUAGCCUUGCGGCCGUACUCCCCAGGCGGGGUGCUUAAUGCGUUAGCUGCGGCACAGACGGCGUGGAAUACCGCCUACACCUAGCACCCACCGUUUACGGCGUGGACUAC